UUUGUAACUACCAGUAACUAUUUUCAGAAAAAAGUAAAUAUUUAAAUUUUAAAUUUCCCAGCAAAUUACAUUUGUUGUUGUUGUUGUUGUAGCAUAAACAUUCUCCAUACUUAUAUACGGGGAAUGUUGCUGGAGUGACAGUCCUUGGCCGGAUAUAAAUCCGGGUCGUUUCGGUAACAUAGAACGGACUGUCGUGGAAACGAGAUUACAUUUGUAAUUUUACUUGGUGUAUCUGUCCGACUGUGAAGAAUUUUUAAAAAGACUAUUUCGAAGAUUAGCUCUGCCGCCUUAACAUGCCUAAAAAAACGCUCUAAAACGCCGCAAGAGUGAUGUUACGCGUUAAUGGAGUCCAUUUCAUUAGGCUCAACUAAGUAUUUUUACACAUUUUUCCUCAAAUAAGCGUAUAUAAAUGAGUUACGUAUGUAGAAAUAACUUUAGAGAGCAUUAAAAUUGGUAAAUCA